rnacentral:rRNA from 1 species
UACAGAGGUCUCGAGCGUUGUUCGGAUUCAUUGGGCGUAAAGGGCGCGUAGGCGGCGGGGUAAGUCUGGUGUGAAAUCUCGGAGCUCAACUCCGAAAUUGCAUUCGAUACUGCCGUGCUCGAGGACUGGAGAGGAGACUGGAAUUCAUGGUGUAGCAGUGAAAUGCGUAGAGAUCAUGAGGAAGACCAGUGGCGAAGGCGGGUCUCUGGACAGUUCCUGACACUGAGGCACGAAGGCCAGGGGAGCAAACGGG